AGCUCUAGUUCGACCCUGGGAACGAGGCUAUGUGCCGAUUGCUUUGGCAUGUAGUGGAUCACUGGCUAUUUUGUCCCCGUGCCGUUUGAGAAGCCUCGCUUGUUGUUGGAGUCAAGUGAGCCCAGUUUUAAUAUUAAACAGGGACCUACAAUUAAGUUAUGCGUGACUUACAACUGACCUUUCAUGGCAUCCCAUAUUGUAAACACAACUGUCAUCUGGAUGGAGUCAAGAACCCUCACUGAGCUUUUUAACAGUGGCUCCCUGCCUGUGUUCCAAGCAUACACAAGACACAUCUUACAUUCAGACAAAAUGCUUUCUUCACCCAAUGUCUUCUGUGAAAAGCAGUCCUUCCGAUGCUCAAAACCUGUUUUCUUUGUUGCUGCAAGCCUUCACUGUCCUCGUGGUUGGUCUCUAUGAUGGGGAGCAAGUGUGCUGAUCUUUUAUUUUUUAUGAAGUCUUCACCUCUGCAGAAGCAAUCUGCUACCAAAGUCUUUCUCUCACUUAACAGGUAAAAGUUCAUACACUGAUCGUGCACACAACGAAGGAAAAUUUCUUAGGCUCAGAAAUUCCUUCUAACAUUCAUUGUAUAGAUGUAUAUGAUGAAGGUUUUUGCAUAUUUGGCCUCCUUGAAUACUGAAUGUGAGUAGCGCACCACCAACAUUUUCAUGAAGCCCUACGCAGUCUUUGAAAUUACAGUUACGGUUUUCCGUGGAGGACAACAGCAGGCAGGGUCCUCGAUCAUAGUAACGCAUUUUCUAUGCCAUAGCUGCUGACACUGUCACACACAGUAUACUUUUCUCCAUCUACUGCGCUUGUCUGUGAUUUGCAUGCCAGGCAAGGAGUGCAUGAGAGUCUAAUGUGAAUUAUUCAUACUGUGCGGCACAAAAAACUACAGACUUUUUUUUAGCAGGCUAGCAUAUGUCACCCAUUUAGGUGUGUCAUCAUAUCCUCUCUGUGACACAGUAGGACACGUGUAGCUCAUUGCUCUGUGGUCAUACAUUUCACUGAGCCUAAGACAAAAACAUUCAAUCACAGUAUCAUACAACCAGACCUUACAAAACAGUUCCAAAAUUCGUUUCGGGACUCUUCCUUUUUUAUUUUUCAGAAAUUUCUGUAUAUAGGGACUUCGACUCAAAUGUUAGUGUCAUUUUUGGAAAAUGUAGAAUAGCAUAUCCUUUGGAUUUGUUGUGUAGUCCACAUGUUGAUACUAAAGGAUAUGUUGAUAUGUGUCUUGCCUUCUUUCUCCCAUUGCCAAUCCUGUAUCAGUUAAGUUCCUGCUUUCUUUUGUUUGUUCUUUGAGACCACUGCUAUACUCAAGGCACUCAGUAGGAUUAUCGCUGUGUUUCACAUUCAUGGUAACAUGCUUGCUUUUCCUAAUGUUAGCAGUUAGGAGACCACCUACUGGAUGUAUCUGCAUCAUUAUAUUAAGUGUGCCUGAUCAUCGUCACUGAGGAGUCAUGCCAAGUAGGCAUAAUGCUUUUGCCUUGACCCUUUUGCAAGAGCCUGUCAUCAAUCUGCUGCAUAGCUUCCUCAGACGGUCAAUAUGAGUAUCCAGAAAUAAUUAAUUCCAAAAGCCUGAUAUGUAAAUGUGUUUCCAGGCGAUCUGAACACAAGCACCACUUCACUAGAGUUCUGAUGUUCUGAGGCUGGAACAACAUAGAAGGGACAAUCACAUACAAGGCUUCAGGUUGCCUAAGAAAUUAACCAUGAAAGAUGGAAGUCACUGAAAAGGUUAGCCAGCUGUAGGACUCGAACCCACAUCUUCUGGAUUACCGAUUACCAAUCCAGAAGAUGUGGGUUCGAGUCCUACAGCCUGCUAACGUUUUCAGUGACUUCCAUCUUUCAUGCAGCAUUUUUACCACUUUCCCUUGUUGCUUUUUUGCAUCCUCCUCCUUUUCCAGCAUCAGAUGUCCAUAUUCUCUGUUACGAAGGAGAGGUGUUUUUUGUAAAAGCUUACCACAGUGUACCGAGGUACUGAACCUUACAAGUGUUCUAGGCCCAUAAUGGCGUGUGCCAUUCUUUAUAUGUGAAAACCUCAGCUCAGCCAACAAAGUCAUCCUAAGGGAGGCCGGAAUAUAUGCAAAGCAACACAAUUUUGCAUUUGUAUGAGUUUGCUACGCCCCAUAUUUCUGAGACAGAGUGAACGAGAUAAGGUGCAUCGUAUCAUGCACAGACGUGACCUCUCACUGCUGUAGGUCGGCCCACUCUGAUGUUCAUGUUCAUGUUCUGCAUCAUUAUAUGCCUUGUCAAAAAUCAGGUUCCUUCCUGUUCCAAUGAUGUUGAAAGUCUACUACACCUUAGUUCACUCGCACCUUAAUUGUGCAGCUGAAGUGUACGGUCUUUGUUACUGAUUCCAAAGCUAGUACUACGAACAAUACUUAGAAUUCCAGCAGCUAAUUCCAUCAUUUUUCCUUUCUCGUUCCUAUUAGUUACAAAAUACAAAGUUUAAUCUGCACUGCUGACAUGCCGCAUAUUGUAACCGUCACUAAUAUUGUUUUCCCAUAUCUGCUACGACGGGAUUUCUCUACUUCCGUCUAUCCCCACCACACGCAAGAUAUGGAACACACUCACUGUAUUACACUGACCCAGACUUAUGGAAUAGAUUGCCAUUUCAUAUACACCAGAUCAAUAACUAUUUUCUGUUCAAGAGGAAAGUUACAGUGUAUUUCCUUGCGUGCAUGUACAACCCUGUUGUAUGAUUGUCUUUGAGUUCACCGAUUACUUUUUGCAUUUUUUGCUUGGUUUGAACUGUGCGUACCAAAGAUAAGCUAAAUUUUGUAAUAUUACAGCAUGUAUCGGUCGAUAAUAGUAGUCUUGAUCUUUCUCUUGUUUUAUAUCCAGGAGUGUUUUAAUUUACUUGAGAUGCCAAAUGUUGCCUCACAAGAUUAUAUUUGCUACCUAUACAUGAUGUGUUGUUACCUAUGGGAGUGCGUAACAGGCUUGUCCUAGCAGUCCCAUAGGUAACAACACAUAAUGUACAGGCAGACAAAUAAACUAUCAAUAUCUAUCUAUCUUUUGGAGACCUCACACUCAUUUCCCUUUGAGUCUCUGACUCUUUUGGCUCCAGUGCUUCAGCUUUUGGCUUAGCCUGGCUCCACUUAUGUUUAUGAUUACUUUUGAAUGCCACCUGCUUUUCCAUCUUUUUUUGCAGCCAGAAGCGAACGACUCUCUUCACAUUGUGUAUCUCAUUCCGAGCCCUUCCCAUUACCAACGCCUUCAACUCUGCUAGCAGGGUAUCUAUGGUCACAGCAAUCUUUUACCCCCAAUAUCUCAAACGACUGCUAUGCCCAUGUACAAUCCAACUUUUCUAAUUUGUCCCUUACACUCAACCGCCACUCAGAAGAAAGGUGGAUGGAGGAUGGGAGAUGGUGCAUUUGUAAAUUGCUGUAAAUAAACAAGUGAUUGAAACGUA